UAUGACCUGAGCCAAAGGCAGAUGCUUAACGACCGAGCCACCCAGGCACUACCUAGCCCACAGCUUUUAAGAACAAGUGGAUAAUGUUGUAUCUAGCUCUUCACAUCCAUAUUUAGUGAAAAGUCUUCUGCCUUACUCCGAAGGAAACAAUUUCCCUUUGCCCUGGGGUAGGGAAGUGGAAAGACCGAGUCAGUGCUAAGAGGCAGUUGGGCAGGGCACCGUGGGCCUUGGGACCAUGGCCUGGUGUGAACGGCAGGGGGACGGCCCAAGGACACCUCCUGGCUGUGCCGUGGCCUUUGGAGAAUCCCUGAAGGUUGUUUCCUGGCCCUGCUCUGCCUUCAGUCUUUGUCUUCUCCUUGCCCCAGAUGGGUGUGUCAGAUUUCUAGGGCAUCUGAUGCCUUCCCAAUGGUGAAAAAACUGCCCCAGAACAGCAUAAGGUCAAAGAAUAAGCUUCCUUAUGCUUUUCUGCUCACCUAUUUCCUAAGAAACAUGGUGCUCCAAUUAGGAGUGUGCCCUAAGGUCUCUAGGGAAGAAGAGAUGGCGUGGCGAGCUGAAUCGUGCGUGAGCUGAGCGCCGUGGGAGCGGAUGCGGGGGACCUGGGCUGGGAGCCCUGGCGGACAAGUGGUGGAAAGGUCCCACCACCAGCUGCUUCCGUGCAGGCCAUCUGUCAGAUCCUCCUCAUUUUUCACAAGAGGAAACUUGCCUGAGGUCAGACUGCGAAACCACCGGUGAUCACACCUACAUCUCGUGACUGGAGGGUCAGAUGGGGGCCGGGCAGGCCAAGUGAAACUGCCUUUCACCGCCUUCUGGCUCCAGACCCACAGACCUGAGUGCAGGGGCCGGAAGAACCAAAGACGGGGAGGUGCUUGCACUUGGGGAGUGGCCGCUGGCGCUCCCAGUGCCGAAAGUUCGUGGCAGAAGGACCCCAGAGGUGUGGGCAUACCCCUUCAGCUUCCAACUCUGCCCCCACCCUGGGGCAGCGGCCCAGCCACUCUCUGCAACGGAGACACCCCGAGGCCUUGUCCAGACAGGCCUCUGCUCAAGUGUCACUUCAGGUUUAAGCUCUGCUCCAGAACCAGGUUUCUGUGCUAAGCGAGGGCAACUUAGAUCCCAAAAUACUAUCAGCUGCGACCUUCGGGCACAAGCAUAUCGACCACCACAAGGAAAAUGGAAUGUGCGAGUCCAGGAGAGUCUGGCCUGCUUCCCUGCAGCCUGGAAUGGCCCACACUACCGAGAUCCUUUGAGGGUCUCCUCUCCGUGGUCUGCCAGCUGGCGUUCGUUGUGUUGUCACCUCAGAAAGCUGACGGGGUCCACUGUGACCCAUGCUGAAGUAAGGUACAAGGGGGCGGGGGGGAGACAACACCGUCCCAGGUUGUCCUGCCUCUGACCUUCAGUCCUAACCCUGUGCUGGGAUCUGGGGCCGAGUCCCUCUGAGUCUCAGACACCUUGUUCAGGAGGCUGCUGAGAGCCUUCCUCACGGCGACUUAUUAAACGCAGCACACUCUCCAAGUGUUAGGUUACUCUAAUUACAUUGUGCACCCGGCCCCCAGCUCCCCAAGACAGCCAGGCUUCUGUGAACAUAAAUUAGCACUUUGAGGAGCACUUCGGCGAUGUCUAAUCUGGGACUGCUGUCAGCCCCUGACAGCGCCGCUUUACUCCUGGGUUGACAUCUUGGAGAAGCAGCACAAGGAGGCAGGCCCCGUGGUGAUCAUUACAACCUGGAGUCUACCCAGUAGCCAUCAGGAGAAGGGAUCGGUUGGGAAGCAGUCACACGGCGUAGCGACACAGGACAGCGGUGGGUCGAGUGAGGAGGGCCGCACGUCAGCACAGAUGAGCCUCAGAAGCAGCACCACGGCGAAAAGCCGGCGGCAUCAGUCCUAACGUGUGAUGCCCGUUAUUCAAGUUCAAAAACACGAACAUGGAGGUGAUGGUUGCCCCACACUGCCAGUGCACUAAAUACCACUGAAUUUUACACUUUGAGAUGGUUGAUUUUAUGUUACGUGACUCCCACCUCAA